CACUUUACAUCAGGUUUUACUCACAUUCUACACCAGGGUUUACACAUAUUUUGCUCCAUGUUUCCUCACAGUUUUCUCCGAGUUUUGUUCACCCUUUACUCCAGGUUUACUCACUCUUUACUUCAAGGUUAUGCACACUUUACUCCGAGUUUAAUCACACUUUACUUCUGGUGUACACACACCUUACUCAGGGUAUUACUCAUGCUUUAUUCAAGCUUUACUAAUCCUUUACUCCGGGGUUACACACACUUCAAUCCACGUUUACU
ensembl:lncRNA